CUGGAGACAGGUGCUGCAUGGCUGUCGUCAGCUCGUGUCGUGAGAUGUUCGGGUUAAGUCCCGCAACGAGCGCAACCCUUGCCUUUAGUUGCCAGCAGUUCGGCUGGGCACUCUAAAGGGACUGCCGGUGUUAAACCGGAGGAAGGUGGGGAUGACGUCAAGUCCUCAUGGCCUUUAUGACCAGGGCUACACACGUACUACAAUGGCCGAUACAAAGGGCAGCGACACUGCGAGGUGAAGCCAAUCCCGUAAAAUCGGUCUCAGUCCGGAUUGGAGUCUGCAACUCGACUCCAUGAAGUUGGAAUCGCUAGUAAUCGUGGAUCAGCAUGCCACGGUGAAUACGUUCCCGGGCCUU
rnacentral:rRNA from 1 species